rnacentral:rRNA from 1 species
CUGCAUGGUUGUCGUCAGCUCGUGCCGUGAGGUGUCGGGUUAAGGUCCCAUAACGAGCGCAACCCCUACCUUUACGUUGCCAUCAGGUUAAGCUGGGGACUCUAAAGGAACUGCCUACGCAAGUAGUGAGGAAGGCGGGGAUGACGUCAAAUCAGCACGGCCCUUACGUCCAGGGCUACACACGUGCUACAAUGGCCGAUACAGAGGGCAGCUACCUGGUGACAGGAUGCAAAUCUCCAAAGUCGGUCUCAGUUCGGAUCGGAGUCUGCAACCCGACUCCGUGAAGUUGGAUUCGCUAGUAAUCGCGCAUCAGCCAUGGCGCGGUGAAUACGUUCCCGGGCCUU